UUAAGUGUUACUAAACACAAUUAAACACUGGAAAAUAUCAUCAUUUCCUUCUAAAGUCUCCUCAUACUGUAUUGAUGACUCUACACCAAAUCUGGCCAAUCAAAUGCUUUCCACAGAAAGUCCCUCCCCCAACAAACAUGCUACAGACCAGCAGCACAACAAACACACUUUCUGGACUCUCUACUGGAAAUAUGAGCUCAUAAAUACCUUUCCUGGAGCUGUGAAUCUGCCUGGAUGUGGAGGAGUGUGUGGAGGAGCGUCAGCUGUUGAGCGCAGGUCAAAGAUUUGCAGCAGAAACACAACAAACACACGUGUGUAUCUUCACUGCUGCAGAGGAGAGAGAGAGAGAGAGCAAUGACUGAACACAAAAACUACAACAACAUCAUUACAAACUAAACCAACGAAACAAAGUCCCUUACAGGAUCAGUGAAGUGUUGUGGACUGUAAGCCUGUUGAACAGAAGCAGAGACGCGUGGACAGACGCUGACUGUACUGAUGAUGAUCAUCUGCUGCUGCACAGGUGAUGUAGAUCAUGUGUGAUUGUGUGUGUGUCUGUUCCACAUGUCGGUUACCAUCAUUUUCUUUGUGGAGGGUCACUCCUCUAGAAAGCAAGUGAUGGUAACCGAAACGGGUGGGGAAGGGACACAGGUCCAAAAUUUUUAUACAGUUCAUUUUAAAUUUUUUGCCAGGCUGUAAAGUAUAACCCCUGCUGGACAUGUCUCCGGAAGCUCCAGGGGGAGACCGAACUGGUAUCCCCCCUUCUUCAGGCGCGCCUCACACUCACUCACCAUUCACUCAUAUCGCAGAGUUCUGGCUGGGAUCAAACCAGCAACCCAUGAAGCCAUGGGGCAGCGCUCUUACCACAGAGCCACAGAUCUCCUGACUGAACACUUGCUGGAACUGAAGUUAGACUUCUGACCUGUGUGUGAGCUGUUUUAAUAAAACAAAAUACGAGUCAGA